rnacentral:rRNA from 1 species
UACGUAGGUGGCAAGCGUUGUCCGGAAUUAUUGGGCGUAAAGCGCGCGCAGGCGGUCCUUUAAGUCUGAUGUGAAAGCCCACGGCUCAACCGUGGAGGGUCAUUGGAAACUGGGGGACUUGAGUGCAGAAGAGGAAAGCGGAAUUCCACGUGUAGCGGUGAAAUGCGUAGAGAUGUGGAGGAACACCAGUGGCGAAGGCGGCUUUCUGGUCUGUAACUGACGCUGAGGCGCGAAAGCGUGGGUAGCAAACAGG